UGCAGUCGACGGCAGCACGGGUGCUUGCACCUGGUGGCGAGUGGCGAACGGGUGAGUAAUACAUCGGAACAUGUCCUGUAGUGGGGGAUAGCCCGGCGAAAGCCGGAUUAAUACCGCAUACGAUCUACGGAUGAAAGCGGGGGACCUUCGGGCCUCGCGCUAUAGGGUUGGCCGAUGGCUGAUUAGCUAGUUGGUGGGGUAAAGGCCUACCAAGGCGACGAUCAGUAGCUGGUCUGAGAGGACGACCAGCCACACUGGGACUGAGACACGGCCCAGACUCCUACGGGAGGCAGCAGUGGGGAAUUUUGGACAAUGGGCGAAAGCCUGAUCCAGCAAUGCCGCGUGUGUGAAGAAGGCCUUCGGGUUGUAAAGCACUUUUGUCCGGAAAGAAAUCCUUGGUCCUAAUAUGGCCGGGGGAUGACGGUACCGGAAGAAUAAGCACCGGCUAACUACGUGCCAGCAGCCGCGGUAAUACGUAGGGUGCAAGCGUUAAUCGGAAUUACUGGGCGUAAAGCGUGCGCAGGCGGUUUGCUAAGACCGAUGUGAAAUCCCCGGGCUCAACCUGGGAACUGCAUUGGUGACUGGCACGCUAGAGUAUGGCAGAGGGGGGUAGAAUUCCACGUGUAGCAGUGAAAAUGCGUAGAGAUGUGGAGGAAUACCGAUGGCGAAAGGCAGCCCCCUGGGCCCAAUACUGACGCUCAUGCACGAAAGCGUGGGGAGCAAACUGCAUUAGAUACCCCUGGAUAGCCCACCCCUCUAAACCGAUGUUACUAGUUG
rnacentral:rRNA from 1 species